UACAGAGGUGGCAAGCGUUGUUCGGAAUUACUGGGCGUAAAGGGCGCGUAGGCGGCCUUCUAAGUCAGACGUGAAAUCCCCAGGCUUAACUUGGGAACUGCGUCUGAUACUGGGAGGCUUGAGUGCGGGAGAGGGAUGUGGAAUUCCAGGUGUAGCGGUGAAAUGCGUAGAUAUCUGGAGGAACACCGGUGGCGAAGGCGACAUCCCGGACCGACACUGACGCUGAGGCGCGAAAGCUAGGGGAGCAAACGGG
rnacentral:rRNA from 1 species